GACGAACGCUGGCGGCGUGCUUAACACAUGCAAGUCGAGCGGUAAGGCCCUUUCGGGGGUACACGAGCGGCGAACGGGUGAGUAACACGUGGGUGACCUGCCCUUAGCUCUGGGAUAAGCCUGGGAAACCGGGUCUAAUACCGGAUAUGACUCCAUGACGCAUGUUGUGGGGUGGAAAGCCUUGUGCGGCUGAGGAUGGGCCCGCGGCCUAUCAGCUUGUUGGUGGGGUGAUGGCCACCAAGGCGACGACGGGUAGCCGGCCUGAGAGGGCGACCGGCCACACUGGGACUGAGACACGGCCCAGACUCCUACGGGAGGCAGCAGUGGGGAAUUUUGGACAAUGGGCGCAAGCCUGAUCCAGCCAUGCCGCGUGCGGGAAGAAGGCCUCGGUUGUAACG
rnacentral:rRNA from 1 species